rnacentral:rRNA from 1 species
AGAGUUUGAUCAUGGCUACAGAACGAACGCUGGCGGCAUGCCUAACACAUGCAAGUCGAACGAGACCUUCGGGUCUAGUGGCGCACGGGUGCGUAACGCGUGGGAAUCUGCCCUUCGGUUCGGAACAACAGUUAGAAAUGACUGCUAAUACCGGAUAAUGACGUAAGUCCAAAGAUUUAUCGCCGAAGGAUGAGCCCGCGUAAGAUUAGGUAGUUGGUGGGGUAAUGGCCUACCAAGCCGACGAUCUUUAGCUGGUCUGAGAGGAUGAUCAGCCACACUGGGACUGAGACACGGCCCAGACUCCUACGGGAGGCAGCAGUGGGGAAUAUUGGACAAUGGGCGAAAGCCUGAUCCAGCAAUGCCGCGUGAGUGAUGAAGGCCUUAGGGUUGUAAAGCUCUUUUACCAGGGAUGAUAAUGACAGUACCUGGAGAAUAAGCUCCGGCUAACUCCGUG